UAUAUAUAUAUAUAUAUCGUAUAUAUCGUAUAUAUAUCCUUGUGAUCGUCGCGCACCGCCACCACUACCACUGCCUCUUUUCCACGCGCAUCUUCGAACACCCGUCGAAUCGAGCGUAUCGAAUGGUCGAGCAAAAAUAAAGAGAAAAAAAAAUAAUAUAUAUAUAUAUAUAUAACACUUAUACACAUCACGAGAAAUACGUCAACGACCUGAGAUCGCGCACCGAAGUCAGUCAUGAAUCUUAUGUUCCGCAAGAACUUCGGGGGAGAGAAGGGACUCGGUGGUGGCGGACUAGGUGGAGGAGGAAUUGGAGGAGGACUAGGAGAAGUCCGGCCCGGCCUGGGCAUCACUACUUACGGGACCAGCGGGGCCUCGUUCGGCCAGAUAGGAACGCGUUUCGGCGUGGCGCGCGGCGGUAUCGGCCAGUCGGUCGGCGGCGUGCGUGGACCCGGCGUACGACGCAGUCGGGAAUUCGGAUACUUUCCGUUGAUGGGCGAUCACGAGCACCAGGGGCACGGUUAUCGUACUCACUUAUUCCUGUCGCCGCCCGCAGGUGGGACACUCGGCUCGCCACCCGAAGAACCGGGCGAGCGGCUGGGCCCGCCGGCGCGCCGCAACUCGGGCCCUCACGUGAUUAAAUGGGGCGGUGGCGGGCCCGUCGGUUCCGCGCAGAGCGGCCAGACCGGAAAUCAGGCCAGGAGAAAACAAAAUCAGAUCGGUCAGCAGAAGGAACUGUCGGACCCACCCACUCCGAUCGCGUCCAGGCAGCAGGUAUCCUUCAGCGGAAACCGUACUUCCGGUACUUAUACACCCCUGGUGGUCUCCGGAAACAGCCCGCCACGAGGCGAACCAAUCUCCUUAGCCACUUUGGACCGCGACUGUUUUAUCAUACCUCUCGCCUCUCUCGAGCGCUUUUUACCAGCUGGUGUACCGCAUGCUCCUGUCGCUGAUAAAAAAAGGCCGGGAAGUCCUCUGUCGGUUCUCGAGGUCGAGGACCCGAAGCAAUGUGUUCUCGCGCAUUUUAUGACGCCACUGGAGCCUCUGGACCCGCUAAUGGAGUCUCCAGUGUCUCGUCCGCUGGUCCUACAACGCGACACCGCCGCGGAAUUAGUCAACGAGAUAGCACCCUCCGCAUCGCAAAGCAUUUUACUUACGAAUAUGGAGAAGAACGCGGAUUUUCCAUUUAUCACGUAUUAUCUAAUAAACAAGCAGAGCACGGACCCAAUAGAUUUUUACAACGAAGUGCAAUGCGCGGCCCUACGUAAGUUCGAUCCUCGAGAUCUCCGAUACGCAGCCAGUCAUACGUUAGAUCUGUUCAAUGAGGUAGCGACCAUCGCGAGACCGCCACUCGAGCCACCCGGUGGAAGACCACCCAUUCCGUCCACCGGCUAUAUAGUGUCGAUUUUUAAAGUUUUCGAGGGCGACGACGGUCUCAAAUUCGAGCAAAAUUGGCUUUAUUGGACAGGCGCGCGAAUGAUGUAUCGAUACCUGCCGAAAUCGGUGGGUCUCAGGCGUAUCACCUUGCACAAAUCGAUGUCGCAGGGCGAUAAGAUGUACCUAUUGAUCUGCGAGUGCUCGCAGCUGCAAGACAAUCUAUCCGCUGCGGCGAUACUUCUGCCGGCACUUCGCGCUCGUCUGUGCGGAUACAUCGGACUUUACAGACCCUCCGUGUGCUUCUGAUUCCUCACUCGGCUGCUAGAAUCUGCAAGAAGCAUCCUUUCGAAUUCGCAUUACGUAUAUCCCUGCAGAAAAAUCCGAGCGAAACGUGGAGCAAAUUAAAAAGUCAUAACGGCAAACAAGACGCGAUACUGGGUUUGCAGGAAUCGAGAAAUAUGUCGUCGCAAACGUCGUUAACGAAUGAGACACUGUGAUUUCUUAUCGUACUACCUAUUAUAAGAAGCGCAACUUCGUAUACGCUUUAGAACGAGUCUCGUCGAUGAUCGAUGAAACGGCCUGCAUGCCUGCAUUAGAUAUGCAACUGGAUCUAUUUGUAUUUUUCGACUUUACUAUCUUGUUCAUUGCGCAAAUUACGAGCGUUGCCCAAGUAGGGUCAACCGAACGAAACGGCAGUGAAAUGAAAUGAAUAGGAAUGAAUAGCAAUAAAAUUGAUACAUAGGCCGCAGAAAGUACUGUAAUAUAUACGUAAUAUAAAAUAAUAUAAAAUGGAUGUCAGAAAGGAUUUUUGUAAGGACUGAAGCGCUAAGGAUAUUUAACUUUCUGUGAAAUAGGAACAUUCUCCAUGUGCCGACAUGGAAAAGAUAACGAUGCCACGAUGUGUUGCCGAUUAAAGACGUUUGGUCAUCCUAUGGGCAUCGCGAGACACAAGCAUAACGAUAUACGCAACAUACUUUAUUACUAUAUAUUGAUAACUAUCGAAUAAUCGCUAACUACAUAUCAUACUCGAUAAACUGUGAUAUUUGAAUCAGCGGCGUAUAUAUCACAAUGGGAAACUCUUCUUGAAACUUACUCUUGAAAAAUGCUACUCUUGAAAUCAAUUUAGGUGACUUAGGCACAUGGUAGUGAAACUUCGAAGGCCAACGUAACUUCAAGUCUUUUAUCGAUCUUCAUAUUUGAUAUUAUAUAUCCGUUUAUGCGGAUUUGACGCUCGCGAAAUUCUAUUUAGCAGCUCUGUCAUGUAUGUAGGUAAAUUAUAUUCUUAAACAAUAGAAAUUUUAAUAAAAUGCAUUUUAUUUCUGUCUCUA
rnacentral:misc_RNA from 1 species